AUACUUUUUGCAGUGUUUGUUUAUGAGUAUUUUGAAGUUUUGUUCUAUUGGAUGUUUUGGAUAUGAUAUUGCCCCUCCAGCUUCGGAUCAGAUUCCUUUUCAAAUCGAUUUUGUGCUUGUGGUUGUUACUAGAAAUUAAGACGAUUGAGAUCUUCACAUAUCUAAUGCUACUAGUGUUUAUAAAGUGUUGUUACUUGGUUGAUAAUUUGUUGAUUGUGGCUUAAAAAGGUCUUAUCUAUGGGAGAAGGAUAUUGAAUUCUGUCGUAAUUUUGAGAAGAUGGGAGAAAGAGACAUUGCGAAGCAAAGCAUCAGAGCCACCACCUCACAAUCACUAUGA
rnacentral:misc_RNA from 1 species